GUCGCUUUGGCAGCUUCGGCUGUCAGUGGCGGUUUGGUGAGUAUUUCGUGGGAAUCUGUCUCCGGGUGGGGGAUAUUUGUUGGAAUUUACUGCUAAUACCGCAUGAAGCCCGAGGGCCAAAGCAGCAAUGCGCCUGGAGAGGAGCCCGCGUUCGAUUAGCUUGUUGGCGGGGUAAAGGCCCACCAAGGCGAUGAUCGAUAGCUGGUCUGAGAGGAUGAUCAGCCACACUGGGACUGAGAUUGAGAUGCCCAGACUCCUUUUGGAGGCAGCAGUGGGGAAUAUUGGACAAUGGGCGCAAGCCUGAUCCAGCAAUGCCGCGUGAGUGAAGAAGGUCUUCGGAUUGUAAAGCUCCUCCGUUUGGGUUUAUGAUGUUUGUACCCGUAGAAGAAGCCCCGGCUAAUUGAGACGUGCCAGCAGCCGCGGUAAUUUUAAGGGGGCUAGCGUUGCUCGGAAUGACUGGGCGUAAAGGGCGCGUAGGCGGUCUGUACAGUCAGUUUUGAAAUUCCCGGGCUCAACCUGGGGGCUGCGCUCGAUUUUUGCGGGCUGGAGUUCGGAAGAGGGUCGUGGAAUUCCCAGUGUAGAGGUGAAAUUCGUAGAUAUUGGGAAGAACACCGGUGGCGAAGGCGGCGACCUGGUCCGAUACUGUUUCUGAGGCGCGAAAGCGUGGGGAGCAAACAGGAUUAGAUACCCUGGUAGUCCACGCCGUAAU
rnacentral:rRNA from 1 species